rnacentral:rRNA from 1 species
AUUGAACGCUGGCGGCAGGCCUAACACAUGCAAGUCGAACGAGUGGCGGACGGGUGAGUAAUGUCUGGGAAACUGCCUGAUGGAGGGGGAUAACUACUGGAAACGGUAGCUAAUACCGCAUACCAUCAGAUGUGCCCAGAUUGGAUUAGCUAGUUGGUGGGGUAACGGCUCACCAAGGCGACGAUCCCUAGCUGGUCUGAGAGGAUGACCAGCCACACUGGAACGGAGAAACGGCCCAGACUCCUACGGGAGGAAGAAGUGGGGAAUAUUGUACAAUGGGCGAAAGCCGGAUGCAGCCAUGCCGCGUGUAUGAAGAAGGCCUUCGGGUUGUAAAGUACUUUCAGCGGGGAGGCGUUAACCGCAGAGGAAGCACCGGCUAACUCCGUGCCAGCAGCCGCGGUAAUAC